UAUCACGCGGGCUGGCCCUCUCGGGGUGGCAGCCUUGCUGAUUAUUCACCCGUGUCUUUUGCGUACCUCUUGUUUCCUUGGUGGGCUCGCCCACCACAAGGACCAACCCAUAAACCUUUUUGUAAUGGCAAUCAGCGUCAGUAACAAUGUAAUAAUUACAACUUUCAACAACGGAUCUCUUGGUUCUGGCAUCGAUGAAGAACGCAGCGAAAUGCGAUAAGUAGUGUGAAUUGCAGAAUUCAGUGAAUCAUCGAAUCUUUGAACGCACAUUGCGCCCUUUGGUAUUCCAAAGGGCAUGCCUGUUCGAGCGUCAUUUGUACCCUCAAGCUUUGCUUGGUGUUGGGCGUCUUUUUGUCUCCCCCUUGCGGGGAGACUCGCCUUAAAGUCAUUGGCAGCCGGCCUACUGGUUUCGGAGCGCAGCACAAGUCGCGCUCUCUUCCAGCCCCAAGGUCUAUUUUUUCCAACUUUUGACCUCGGAUCAGGUAGGGAUACCCGCUGAACUUAAGC
rnacentral:rRNA from 1 species